rnacentral:misc_RNA from 1 species
UACGGGGGGGGCAAGCGUUGUUCGGAAUUACUGGGCGUAAAGGGCGCGUAGGCGGACGGGAAAGUCCCUCGUGAAAGCCCACGGCUUAACCGUGGAAUUGCGGGGGAAACUGCUCGUCUUGAGUCCGGGAGAGGAGUGUGGAAUUCCCAGUGUAGCGGUGAAAUGCGUAGAUAUUGGGAGGAACACCGGUGGCGAAGGCGGCACUCUGGACCGGUACUGACGCUGAGGCGCGAAAGCUAGGGGAGCAAACGGG